UGAACGCUAGCGACAGGCUUAACACAUGCAAGUCGAGGGGUAACAGGGUAGCAAUACCGCUGACGACCGGCGCACGGGUGAGUAACGCGUAUGCAACCUGCCUAUAACUGGGGAAUAGCUCCCUGAAAGGGGAAUUAACACCGCAUAACACUAUUGAUUCGCAUGGAUUAGUAGUUAAAUGUAGCGAUACAGGUUAUAGAUGGGCAUGCGUGACAUUAGCUAGUUGGUGAGGUAACGGCUCACCAAGGCUACGAUGUCUAGGGGUUCUGAGAGGAAGGUCCCCCACACUGGUACUGAGACACGGACCAGACUCCUACGGAGGCAGCAGUGAGGAAUAUUGGUCAAUGGGCGCAAGCCUGAACCAGCCGUGUCGCGUGCAGGAAGACUGCCCCCUAUGGGUUGUAAACUGCUUUUAUAGUAGAAGAAACACAUCUACGUGUAGAUGUCUGCCUAGUAUACUAUGAAUAAGCAUCGGCUAACUCCGUGCCAGCAGCAGC
rnacentral:rRNA from 1 species